GGUCAAGCUAAAAAGAGCGCAGGGUGGAUGCCUUGGCACUAAGAGCCGAUGAAAGACGUGAUAAGCUGCGAUAAGCUACGGGGAGGAGCACAUAUCCAUUGAUCCGUAGAUUUCUGAAUGGGGAAACCCGGCUGAGCAUACCUCAGUCACCGUACACUGAAUCCAUAGGUGUACGGAGGGAACCCGGUGAACUGAAACAUCUAAGUAGCCGGAGGAAGAGAAAGAAAACUCGAUUUUCAAAGUAGCGGCGAGCGAAAUGGAAAGAGCCCAAACCGGAGUGCGUGCACUCCGGGGUUCGGACUGCAUUUAUGACUUCUGACUGUAGCGGAACGGUUCUGGAAAGACCGGCCAGAGAGGGUGAGAGCCCCGUAGGCGAAACGGAAAGAAGCAGAGCAGGAUCCAGAGUACCACGAGACACGAGAAACCUUGUGGGAAUGAGCGGGGACCACCCCGUAAGGCUAAAUACUCCUUAGUGACCGAUAGAGCAGAGUACUGUGAAGGAAAGGUGAAAAGGACCCCGGGAGGGGAGUGAAAGAGAACCUGAAACCCUGUGUUUACAAACUGUGGAAGUACCAUACGAGUACAACCGCGUACUUUUUGUAGAACGGUCCGGCGAGUUACGUUUACUGGCGAGGUUAAGCACUUAAGGUGCGGAGCCGAAGGGAUACCAAGUCUUAACAGGGCGUUAAGUCAGUGUACGUAGACCCGAAACCGGGUGAUCUACCCAUGUCCAGGCUGAAGUUGCCGUAAAAGGCAAUGGAGGGCCGAACGCACAUCCGUUGAAAAGGGUGGCGAUGAGGUGUGGGUAGGGGAGAAAUUCCAAUCGAACCCGGAGAUAGCUGGUUCUCCUCGAAAUAGCUUUAGGGCUAGCCUCGUGUUAACCUUGUGGAGGUAGAGCACUGAAUAUCCUAGGGGGCGUCAAAGUCUACCGAAGAUUAUCAAACUCCGAAUGCCAUAGAGGUGAUGCACGGGAGUCAGACUGCACGAGAUAAGUUGGGUGGUCAAAAGGGAAAGAGCCCAGACCUACAGCUAAGGUCCCAAAGUGCGUGUUAAGUGGAAAAGGAUGUGGGAUUUCGAAGACAACUAGGAUGUUGGCUCAGAAGCAGCCAUACAUUCAAAGAGUGCGUAAUAGCUCACUAGUCGAGAGGUCCUGCGCCGAAAAUGUCCGGGGCUGAAACACGACACCGAAGCUUAGGA
rnacentral:rRNA from 1 species